UCCAGACUCCUACGGGAGGCAGCAGUGAGGAAUGUUGGUCAAUGGGCUUACGCCUGAACCAGCCAAGUCGCGUGAGGGAAGACUGCCCUAUGGGUUGUAAACCUCUUUUGUCAGGGAGCAACGCCGGCUACGUGUAGCCGGACUGAGAGUACCUGAAGAAAAAGCAUCGGCUAACUCCGUGCCAGCAGCCGCGGUAAUACGGAGGAUGCGAGCGUUAUCCGGAUUUAUUGGGUUUAAAGGGUGCGUAGGCGGAAUGCCAAGUCAGGGGUAAAAUCGCGGGGCUCAACCUCGCUCCGCCGUUGAAACUGGUUUUCUAGAGUUGGAGAGAAGUAUGCGGAAUUCGUGGUGUAGCGGUGAAAUGCAUAGAUAUCACGAAGAACUCCGAUUGCGAAGGCAGCAUACCGGCUCCAUACUGACGCUGAGGCACGAAAGCGUGGGGAUCGAACAGGAUUAGAUACCCGCGUACA
rnacentral:rRNA from 1 species